CAGGAGGGACUGUGUCUUUGACACUUGCACAAAAUAAACGAAAAGGGAACAGGUCCUCGGGCCUCCGGGUUGUUUUUGUUACCGUGACUCCUCCGUGGUCCUGAAGCCUCUGAACGAGCUCUUAGGCCGCAAGGUGAACAUCGAAAAGUCCUUUAGAAAAUGAAUCCCGCUCCACAGUCGCGCAUCUACACAAUAUUUAGCUCAUAAAAAAGAAAGAGUCGUGCUUAGCUACCAAAAAAAAGUUUGUCGCUGAAUUUGCCGUCGAUUCUCGAUGCGACUAUGUUUUAUGCCGAACUAGUUUCUUCAGAGCGUAAUAGGAUCUUGGUCACAAGGGGUGGCACGGUUCGACACGUGAUCGGUCUACACCAAUGAGGUAGCUGCUUUUUGUCAACAGAAUGGCAAGAUGGCGGCUCCCGUGGUUGGAUUCAACGUUACCGAUAAAGAGGAAAACACCCUUAAAAGUGGGCUAAAUCGAUUCUAAAUAGUGCUGUAUACAUAGCCGCGUCCAAUAAGAACAAUGAGGCAACAGAAUGGCAAGAUGGCGUCCUCGAGCAGUACGGAAGACGAAGAAAAUACACCGGAAUAUAUUAAUAAAUCAAAAAACAAACAUUGUUUUAUGCAUAUUACUUCAGUCAAGCACGAGGAGGUACAUUAUUUCACCACUACACGAUGGAAUACAUACAGGACAAGCCUACAAACGUGGCUCGGGUUGGACGGUGAGUCUCGGGACGUGGCUGAGAACUUCAAACACUGUGUUGAUGUGGAGUUUGACAAUAUUCCCGAGGAUGCUGGCUUCCAUCACACGUGCUACCGUAGAUUUACGGACAAAAAAUCCAUGGCAAAGGUGGAAAGAAGGAGAAGUUCGUCAACCGAGCAGGCAAACGACAAAGGGAUACUCUGUCAAAGGCUGAAACAUUAACAGCAGGCCAAUUGCAGAAAGCUGCCGAGUUGAAGGAGGACCAAAGUAUUUUUUUGCAUAUAAAAGACAGACUGUGUGGCUCUGGAGGUGCAGUACCACAAAAGCUGUUAUAAUCAGUAGGCUACACCAGGUUUUUGAUGAGGCCUGAAAAACCAGAGAAAGAACAGUAAGUUAUUUAUUAUAUUGCAUUUCAAGGAGCUACUAACUUAACAUUGCAUAAGUAAACAUUCAAUCCGCAUUCUGUUGUAUGUACACACAAUCACAACACAUAUUCAUUUAUUUCCUUCUCAUUCAUAUGUGUUCUAGGAUUGAGCCCACGUUUGAUAUCAGCUAUAAGAUAUUCUGUGAAAGGAUCAUUCGCCAAAGGCUGCUUGUCAACCAAGAGGUGCUGAGAAUGGGCCAGCUGAGGAAGGCCUUCGUUGAACUGGUGAAAGCAAAUGAAGGUCUUGAUGCUUCAAACUACAGGAUAUGUUGAAGAAGAGGCUGGCUCGUGAUUUCCCCCAGCUGGUGUUUCACAUCCCCACCAAGCGCAACAUCUGCGAGCUGGUUUUUGCAGAGACCCUGUCAACCAUUGACAUUACCAAGGUGUCAUCAGCUCUCGGAACCAGUGUGUGUUCAGCCUUGAUCGGAAUUCACACAUUCUCUGGGUGUGACUCCACAAGUGCCUUUUAUGGCAAAGGGAAAAUGACAUUUUCUGUUGCAUGUGAGAAAGGUGAGUACCUAAAGGCUUUUAAAAGUUUAGGUACUCACUUUAACUUGGAGCAGUCAACAUUUGCACUUCUUUGCCAGUAUGUGUGCCACUUAUAUGAUCAGCCAGCUGCCGAUAAUGUAAAUGAAGCUAGGUACAAGGCUUUCUGUAUGGCAUCAUCAGCCUUGCCAGAAAUAUGCAUUCCCCCAACUACUGAUGCCCUCCAACAGCACUGCAAAAGGGCAAACUACCAGGCUGCAAUAAUGAGGUCCUGUCGCAAACAAAAAAUAAGUGCUCCAUCACCUGCUGGAUAUGGUUGGCAAAUAGAGGAUGGGACCUUGCACAUCACCUGGAUGACCAGAAAUCCGGCCCCUGACAGUGUUUUGCAUGUCAUACACUGCGGCUGCAAAGGUGCCUGUGAGACAGGAAGAUGUUCCUGUUUUUCUGCAGGAUUGUGUUGCACAGACUUAUGUCGUUGCUGUAAUUGUGCCAACACCAAAGACACCGAGCAACUGGAAGACAACUGCCCUGACACUGACAGUGAGGACUGAGCAUCCUUAAUAUGUUAUUUCUUUUGUAGUUUUGUACAGUUUUAUAUAUGUCAUAUUUUUCAUAAAGAUUGUUUCUUUUGUU